ensembl:lncRNA
UAUUUUAAUGCGCUUCAGUGGAUGUUGUCAGAAUGAUGUAAAUCAGUGGUCUUCGCUAUGUUUUUUUCAUGGGAGCCGCACUGAUAGGGCAACUUCAAUCGGAGAGCCACUUUAACUGAAAAGUUACAUCCAGUCAUAAAUAGUAGCCUAUGUUUUUUCAUUAAUCUGUCAUCGCUGAUAUGCAAGGCAAUAUAAUACAAAAGGGUUUAUCAUUCUUAAUCAUUUACCAGUCAAAUUUGUAACUGAGACAAGAUGAUUUAAAAAGGCUAACCAUCCAAGUAGCCUACACAUGCGGAGUUAAGAGCUGUUAAGAUUAAAACUGGCAACUCCGCAGUGAGUCAUGGAUUUAGGACAGAGCAAGUGUAAAUAUCUUUUCUAGUCUAUAUUUCCAUCUUCAAUGGUAUACAUAUAUAUAAUAUAAAUCAUUUGUAAUAGAGCAGCACUGUCUGACCGUGUCUACACCGGACGCGACAAUUGUCGUGCCGCCCCGCUGCGCUAAAUGUCGGCUAAAAGUCUGUCUACACUUGAAUCCACAAAGCAACAAUUGCAAAUCAUCUGAACUUAGCGUCAGUACAGUUCGUCAUAAAUAGAAUAAGACAUCAGUCUACUGAUGGGGAUCGUGUCGCGCCGCGCCACGCUGCAUCGUGUAGACAACAUCACUGGGUUCAAUUGUCUUUUGUCGUAUCGCUCCACUCGCGUCCGGUGUAGACGUGGUGUGUUUUUUUAAUAAGUUAUGUUAUAGCCCUGCUUGUUUUUAAUGUUUUUAUAAAAUAUCUGUAUUGACUGCAUGAUCAUAUCAUCGUAUUAUUUACUGCCAUGGAGCCACGCAAUGAGUAACACUGAUAUAAAUAGUCAAAAGUAGCUUACAUUAGUGGUUGCUUAAGACCCGUUUACACCUGUUUCGGGCAACCGGUUUGAAACAUCGGGCUCCAAAACAAAUUCAUCCACAUGUGAAGGUGUUCAAAGUAAUAUUUAAACAUUGCACUUGAAGUGUAAAUGCUCAUCUUUUUUAAUUCAGAUGGCUAAUUUAAUAUAAGCGGUGAAUUGAUUUCAAUUCAUUAUAUUUGGAGAUAGCUCUACUUCGAAAUCUGCUGAUUAGUGAAUUUGAAAUGCAAACUUCACAUUGCCUGAGCUUCAGUCGACAGCUGUAGGUAGAUCGAUGGAUGCCGUAACCUUAUAUAGAGUCAUUUACAUGUUGCCACAGUGACUCAUGGGUUCCUGAAAGAAAUGUGACAAAUUACCUGAGUUUCAUAAAGAGGCAUAAGACCGCACACUCACUUGCAGGUGAUUUUUUUUAUUACCAACGUUUCGGCGCAACGCCUUUGUCAAGGUAUCUGUUCAUGUAAGAUUUUGAUCGUAUUUUGCUGAAACAGGAAGCCUAUUGGAUUCAUAGAUUGAACACUUUGAUUCCGAAUGUGGAUUUUGAUCCGAGUUGUUUUCUGUAUGAUGUGUUUUUGUAAGUUAAUGUGUACUUGGUCAAUGUUUAUACAAAUGGACGAACUAUGUGUUCUGAUGGAGUGAUUUUAAUUCCAAUUUCAUUGUUAGUUGGACUGAGAUUUAUUGAUUUGUUUACACCUGAGAGUGAUUGUCUAUUUAUACCUCUCCUUACCUUAUACGAAAAUAUACCUUGACAAAGGCGUUGUGCCGAAACAUUGGUAAUAAAGAAUCACCUGCAAGUGAGUGUGCCGUCUUAUGCCUCUUUAUGCUACUUUGAUAUCUCAGAUGGUGUGCAUAUGCAUGCUUGUUUUACUAAGGAACAAAUUAACUGAGUUUCCCAUAUUUAGGUGGGCUAAAGACAACUCUGAGAAUAUUUCCUUUUUUUUUGUGCGUGUAGCCUAAUUAUAAAGUUUUAAUGUUGUUUCUGUGAAAUGGAAAUAAAUGGGCUGUAUAAACCAGUGACAUUUUUUUGUAGGCAGUAAUAUUUUAUUUUAUGUUUGUUGUCAUUCUGUGCAAUGUGUCUGAUUAUGGUGUCUAAUUUACAACUUUAAAUAAA